CCACAACCCGUGGUUUCGCACUAUUCCAUUUUAGUAUUCUAUAAUUUAAAAUGUAUCAUUUUAGUACUAUAUGGUUUCGUUUUUCUCUUUCCAUUCAUUCCCUAUAUUAAUUUUUCUAUUAAAUCAAUGGUAAAAUUAAAACCAUAGGGUACUAAAAUAAAAAUUCGGUAAACCAUAGGGUACUAAAGUAAAUAUUCGAUAAAUCACAUGUGGGGUACUUGAAGUUUUUUUAUAUAUGAUUUAACGGAGAGUUAACGGAUGUACUGACGGAAAGAGAAAAAAUGAAACCACGGGAUACUAAAGAGAUACAUUUACAUUUUAAACCACAGAGUAGUGAAGUGAGAAAGCGCGAAACCACAGAAGUGGUAUUUUAAGUUUAUCCUAUAAUUUAAUGAACUAAUCCAUAAAAGAGAUAAUCACUACAAUAAAAUUAAGUUAUAAGGAUACAUUCUUGGGACACUUUUAUAUAAGUGCCCUAUUUAUGCCAAAAAAAUUUAAAAAAAUUUAUUAAGGUCUAAAUAUAAAGUCCAAUCUAAUCAAAAAUAAAAAGUUCCUCUAUUCAACUAACCAUAUCCAGCCCACUUGGCCCGAUUACAAAUAAAAAAGGAAGAAAAAAAAACAAUGAUCAUCAUCUCCCCUUCUCUUCCUUCGCCGCCGUAACCGACGAGGCAGGGUUCCGAUGGCUAGAGUUUAGCUGCGAGGAUAUCGUAGGGACCGUAGAGAGCUAUAAUCGCCACGUAUCCCUCACCACAGGUUGCUGGAGGAGUGGAUGCCAAAUAUUAAGGCGGCCCUAUCUAUAGCGACCCCACAUAUAGCAACAUUUUUAAAAAGUAUUGGUAAUUUAGCCAACAACACUUUUUUUACCCUAUACUGAUAUUUAAAAGUAUCGGUAUACAGUAUUUUUGUCGCUAUACAGAAAAUAUUUAUUUUAUUUUUUCUAUUUCAUGGUUUGGGUUUUUGUUGAGAGUAAGAAUUUAUGGUAUAAAAAAUAUUUUUAUCAUCAAAUUCUAGCAACCAAUAUCAAAGUGUGUAUCAUAUUUACAAUAAUCAGUAUCAGAAUGGAGUGCAAAUUAAUUCUCUACAACGGUAAAGAGCUUUUAUAAUAAUUAGUAGGCUAAAUUACGUAAAACAUUCCUGUCAAAAUUCAAUUUUUCACUUUUCCCCCCUGGCAUUUAAAAACUACACUUUGCCCUCUUGUAAACCGAAAAAUGUUCACAGAAAAGUAUGGUGUGAACUGUGAUAAUAAAAUGACCAUUUUGCCCCUCACUAUUUUGUCCCUCACCAUUUUUACAGUAGAGAAGGCUGAGGACAUUUUUGGCAUAAAAAAAAUAUAAUAAUAUUUUAUAAAUGAAACCCUAACGGAUUACUAACGGUAGGGGGCGAAGUAAACAUUUUUUUACUUUAUAAGGAGGCAAAGUGUAGGUUUUUAAAUGACAGGAGGGAAAAGUGAAAAAUCGGAUUUUGACGGGGGGUUUUAUGUAAUUUAGCCUAAUCAGUAAGUAAAGAGUUUAAAAUAAUUAAAAUUUAAAAUUUAAAAUUUAAAUCAACUAACCAAACAUCCCCUACAAAAUUAUAUAUAAAAAUAAGCAUAAUAUAUAUUUUAUUGUAAUCCUUUUUUGCGCUCUGCCUGUAAACCCAAACAAAAUAUACAAAACCUAGAACCAUGAAGUUAAAUGCCAAAGCAACUUUAAUAUGUUGGAAGCUUCUCAACAAGUUUUCAUCAUUAAAACAGUAUAGUAACGCUGCGUCCAAAUCUUAAAGGUUUGCUUUAAUCUUAAAAAAAACAAAAUCAUCUGAAUCUUAAUAUUGUAUUAAAUGGUAAAUUUGAAAGAGGUUCAAUAAAUUUGAACGAGGAGCUCAUCAUUUAACUUUUUUCCGGUAAAACGACAUGGUAAAAUACAAAUGUUUCUAGAAGUACUCCUUGUUGGUCCAAAUAAGAUGGCGUGAACGGAAUCUAUACUUAGCUAAGUGCAUUGAAUCAUGCAUGCACGUGCUCGGCUUAUUGGGACAUUCUAAAUCCCACUUGGUGCAUUGAAUCAUGCACGUGCUCGAUCGGCUUAUUAUGAGAUUCUAAACCCCACUUAACCCACGUUUUCUUUUCUUUUUUUUUUUUCCUCUAAAAUUUUAACAGCAGUCGUAGUUAUUUGUGUUACUCCUUCCCUACACUCCUUAAAUCAUAAAGAUAGAUGGUAUUAAUUAGUAGCCUUCUAAAUUAAUGGUUUUGAGUUAGUUCCAGUCACACUAGGUUUCUGACGUGACAUAAAAUAUUAAAGAUAAACAGUUGUUUUAUAUCUAUAUAUAUAUAGAGUUGGACUAGAACACUAUUAAUAGUAUUUGUCUCGUUUUGCUAUCAAAUUUUUAGGCUUUGUAUCAAUUCUUUUGAUCAUUUCUAAUCAUUGGAUUAAAUAUUAUAAUUCAAUGAAGACCACUCAAUCUUAGAGUGACUAUUCAAUUCUAAGAUACUAAUAUCAUCCUGACCUUAUAAUUUUUGAUCCAACAGUUAAAACUUAAUAGUAAAAGAGAAAAAAUAUUAUCAAUAAUAUUUCAGUCCAACUCUCUCUCUAUAUAUAUAUAUAUAAUUUAUUUUGAUCCUUGAAUGAGAUACUGAUGUUCGGUUAUGAUGAUAAUAAUUUUUUAUUAGAAUAAUAGUGAUCUAGUUGAGUGAAUGGUUAGAUUUAUUUUUUUUUGAACAUUUUCCCCACACAGGGGCGCUCUCUUGCCAAGCGCCACGUGGGGCUGCCCACAGGCCGCCACGUGCAACUCUAGGUGCUACGUGGCCGUAGUGGGACCGGUCCAUGCCACUGCUAAGGUAAUGCUGUUUUCGCAACAUCGAAAACGAACUAGAAGCCCGAAAGGCUCCGUACUUUCGAUAGCAUAGUAGCCUCACUCUAUAUAUAUAUAUACACACACACACAACUCUAGGUGCUACGUGGCCGUAGUGGGACCGGUCCAUGCCACUGCUAAGGUAAUGCUGUUUUCGCAACAUCGAAAACGAACUAGAAGCCCGAAAGGCUCCGUACUUUCGAUAGCAUAGUAGCCUCACUCUAUAUAUAUAUAUACACACACACACAACUCUAGGUGCUACGUGGCCGUAGUGGGACCGGUCCAUGCCACUGCUAAGGUAAUGCUGUUUUCGCAACAUCGAAAACGAACUAGAAGCCCGAAAGGCUCCGUACUUUCGAUAGCAUAGUAGCCUCACUCUAUAUAUAUAUAUACACACACACACAACUCUAGGUGCUACGUGGCCGUAGUGGGACCGGUCCAUGCCACUGCUAAGGUAAUGCUGUUUNCUAAAUUUAAAAAUCUACUAAUUUUAAUUAUGAUCCUACUAAAUCAAAUUGGGACAAUUUCACCACUAACCCUCUUAAAUAUGUAAAUAUCGUAAAUAUCCCUAUAAAAUUGAAAAUAUCAUAUAUAUAUCCUUUUAAAUGUAGAAAAUUAUCACAAAUAUCCUUUCUUCUAACAGACGUUAAGAUUAAGUUAUAAAAUGACUAAUUUACCCUUGAUUGGGUUGUUCUUUUGACAGCAACUAAUAAAGGAAUAAUUUCAUAAAUACCCUUCAAAUUUUAAAAAUAAUAUUUUUAGUACUAAUUAUUGGUGGAUAAAAUAUAUGGAAACCCUCACCCAUAGGUCAUUUUGAAAUAAACCCCCUUAACUUCAAUUUUUUAACAUUAAGAGCCCUUGAACUUUUAGUUUUUUUUUUUGUUUUUACGUUUUACUUAGUUAAAAGUUUUUUAAUUGAGAUCCCUCGCAUGAAUUUGAUAAAAUUUUUAACUUAGUUGGAAAAAAAAAUACUCAAUUGCAAAAAUAAAGAACCACAUAGGUUGAGAGGAUGUAUAUAUAGAGAGAGAGAGAGAAAAAGAGAGAGUCCGGCUCCUAUACUCUUAUAAAUACGAUCGCCUUCGUACUUAUAAGUCAUUUUCAAUGAUAGGGUUUAUGAAUAGACGAUCCAUACCGUUAAACAUCAUCUAGAACAUUUAAAACUUUUAAAAAUCAAAUUUUAUAAUUUUUUGAUAUUAUUUACCUUACGAUCAAAAAAUCUCAAAAUUGGCAAUUGUUAACGGUGGGUUACUUGCUAACUUAACGAUAUAAAAAAAUCAGAAUCAAUUGAAUUUUUGAUAGAAAAUUAUAUUCACUAUCUAGAUAAAAAUCAAUAACUUUGAUCUUAAAUUGAAGAAUCUGAUUAUCCAUUUUUAGAACGUCAUUUGAUUUUGACAAUUCAUUUUAUGCCCACUUUGAUAGACUUUAUUAUAAUUUCGAAAAAUUACAAAGUUUAUUUUUUAAAAAUUUUAAAUACUCUAAAUUAUAUUUAACGAAUUGGAUCGUCGAUUCGGAAGCUCCAUUAUCGAAAACAACUUAUGAGCACGAAAGGCUCUAUAUACUCAUAAGAGUAUAGUAGCCCUACUUUUAUAUAGUCCGGCUAUAGUGCUUGUAAAAGCACCAAGCACUUAGUUCUUAUAAAUUUUUUACCCUUAGAUAUACCCUUUGAUCAUUUCCACCCGUUAGAUCAUACUAUUUAACUAACCACCCACUCAAUACUAGAGGUCCCACAUCAUCUAACCGCACAUCUCUUAAUCCAAUGGACAAAAAUCUACAACCAGCAAUAACUUGAUACUUUUAAAAGUAUAAGAGCUCAAUUAAUAUAUAUAUAUAUAGAGUGAGGCUACUAUGCUAUCGGAAGCACGGAGCCUUUCGUGCUUCCAGUUCGUUUUCGAUGUUGCGACUUUCGAAUCGUCGAUCGGCUCCGUUAAACUUGAUCUAGAGUAUUUGAAGUGCCUAGAAAAUAAAUUUUAUGAUUUUACGUUAUCAUUUGCCUAGUGAACGAAGGGACUCAAAAUCAACGGCUGAAAAUAAAAAUCUUACAAAAUGUAAUAAUAUGACAUUAAAAUUUUAAAUCAAAUAUAUUGAUCUUGUUUUAUCUAGUAUAAAGAAUUUUCUAUCAAAAUUUCACGUGAUUUGGAUAUUUCUACACCGUUAAACUUGCAAACGGCUUACUACGGCCAUUGAAAUUUGUUGAUUUUGAGCCCAUUCGAUCACUAGGCAAAUGAUAUCGAAAAAUAAUAAAAUUUAUUUUCUAGGUACUCCAAAUACUCUAGAUCAAGUUUAACGGAGCCGAUGAUCGAUUCCGAAAGUCGCAACAUCGAAAACGAACGAAGACGGAAGGCUCCGUGCUUCGAUAGCAUAGUAGCCUCACUCUAUAUAUAUAUAUAAUAUAAUAUUAUAUAUAUAAUACUAUAUAUAUAUAAUAUAUAUAUAUAUAUAUUAUUUCAAGUUAGGACCAUGCUGAAGUGGACUAAUGGGUGAGCGGUCUUCAUACAAUGUACUUUUUUGCUACCAAAAAAUGUUCAAUUAAAAAUUAUUGCUGAGUGGAUCAUAUGAAAAAUAAAUAUCAAAAAAAUUUAUAUCAAAAUAUUUUUUUGUAUGACUUAUGUGAGUAAUUUAAAUAAUCAAAAAAAUUAAAUCUUGAAAUUAAUAUUGAAUAUUACAAUGGACAAUUGCAUUACAACUAUAUAUAAUUUACAAGCGAAAAAUCAUAACAAGAUUUAAUUAUUACACUUAAUACACUAUAGAUCUUUAAUUGUAAAAUUUUAAAAAAAAUGUUGAAUUAUUAUGUGAUUGAGAGGUUAAGAAUUGAUCUUGAUCAUGUAAUUAAUCUUAAAUUAUUACCCUUAGUUAAAUUAGUAAUAAGGGUAAAAUGGGUAUUUAUAGAAUAUUAGAUGACUUUUUAACGGAAUGUUAAUCUUAAGGGUAUUUGUGAAUAUAUAUUUUUGCCUUUUAGAGGGCUAUUGCUGAUAUUUUGUAAUUUAGAGGGGCAUUUAUGAAAUUUCUGUCUCCUUGAAGGGUAUUGAUAAAAUUAUCCCAAUCAAAUUCAUAUAAACACCUUUUCAGUCCACGUGACUACAGUUUUCACUUGUUGUUUUCAUUGAAAGAGUACAAAAUUGCCGAUCUACUUCAGAUGGCGGAUUGUUGAGUGGGUUUCUCCAUACAAUUAACCUUUCUUUUUCACUUCUUGGUACAUAUUUGGGAGAGAAAUACAACUUGUACUAUAACUCUUUUAGCGAAAUACAACUCGUACGUACUGUAACUCUACAUGCUAUGUUAUCUGUAUAUUUCACAUUAGUUAAUGUAAAUCUUCUACUCUUUUUAUCCAAUACUCUUUAUUUCACGCUGGUUUUAUUACACUCUUAAUUUUUUUAGUAAUGAAACCUAAAAGAGUUUAUGAGGUUGGCUUUUAGGGAGAAAAUACUAAUGGCCGAUAAUCUAAUUAGGAGCGGGAUGGCCACAUCCAUCUGAGUUGCUCGUUAUGGAAUAGAGAAUCUGAAAUAGUUAUAAUCUUUUUACCUACUGUGAAUUUUUCAAGCUCAUUUGGGUCGAAUGCAGAAAACUCUCCAAAUCCACCCACUGGCCUCUACUAUAGUCAAAUGAUGUCUUUCUUUCCACCCAGAUCCAAAUCAGGGAAAGGGCACCGGUCAACUGCGACGUAAAAUUGACUCAUUGUUUACUACUAUAUGCUGAAACUUAUGGAAGGAGCGCAAUAAUAGAAUUUUCAAUGGGUUGCAUAGAUUAUCUGAAGAACUAGCUCGAGUAUCUCAUACUUAUACACUAAUGGGGUUCAAAUUUUUAUAACUGGAGGGUUCAAUAUGGGAGAUCAAUUAUUGCUGCAAGCCUACUUCGCACCAGUAAUUAUAAUUAAUUUAUACUUGUUUUACAUGUAAUUUCUAUUAUAUUCAAUGAAACGUAUACGCCAAAGUUUAAAGUGUCGCCCGUGUCGUACAGCUCGGGGCGGCAGAAGGUGGCACAGUACAGGAGAGGUCUCGAACUCCCCUCCGUGCUGCGGCACGCAGCCGCACGAGACAAAGCGGCACGGCGUAGUGUGCCACAGCACAGUGCCGUCCCGGCAUUGUGCUUUUUUUCUUUUUUUGCUUUUUUAUUUUUUUUUAAAUUUUUUUCUUUUUGUUUUAUUCUUUGAGAUAUUCAAAACAUGCAUUCUGAGUACUCCCCAAAGACAUUACAAAUUGAAAAUUUACUUAUUAAGUAAGUCAAAAAAAUUUUAAUUUAAUUUUUUUUAUUUAUAAUAUACGGACAGAAGAUUUGCCCGAACCCUUCACUUCCACCACAGAUAUCUAUUUUUUAUUCACAAAUUAUUUUAUCAAAAUUUGUCGCACAGCAAAAUUUUUGACGAAUUAAGAGAAUAAAAUCGAACUCAAUAAACAAAUUUUGAGUCACAUUAAACAUAAAAUUUUAUUUUUGCGCUAGAAUAUUGCAAAUACUGAUAAAAUUAAAAAACUAAAUUAAAUCAAUUGAUAUUUAAAUUUAUUUAAUUUAUUUGUCAUAUUAUUUAUUGCUUAAUUUUUUUUGAUAGAUCUACCAAUUUUAAAAAAAAAUUAAUNUAAAAUAAUUUUUUCAAAUAAUUUUUAAAAUUAUUUUUUUGUAUUUUAUAAAAGAAAAACUUUAAUAUGGUCAAAAGAAAAAAAAAAGAUGUUUUUAUAUUUUAAAAAUUCUAAUGUAUAAAAAUUUCUUUUCUAUAUCAAGUAUAAUUGUACUUUACAUACAAAAAAGUUUACAAAUGUAUUAAUUGAUGAGUAUAGUAAGCUAUACAUAACAAAUAUUCAUAAUUAUUUGAUUAAAUCUUUCAAAAUAAUAUUAUAAAAGUUUAUUGAAGCCAAAAAAAUUAAAAUAAGUUCAUGCCAAAGCGUACCAGUAAAAAGUCGUACGUAUUCAUCGGCACGCAAACGUAUCAUAUGUUGACACGAAAGUGUGCCGGUACCGUACCGUGCUAGGCAAACAGCGACAGCCCCCGUGUCACUGCACUUUAAACCUUGGUAUAAACAAUACCUUUUCAUAGAGCAGUGCCUAAAUCUGUAGAUACAUUAAUUGGGUGUAAGAUUAAUAUCACCUACUGAUAUACAGGUAGUAGUUUUGGAACUUUCCUUGUGGCUGUGUAUAUUUAAGCUGACAAGCAGAUUAGCACAAUCCACACACACAAGUAGAGGGGGGAGAAGGGGGAGAGAGAGAGAGAGAGAUGGAGAAGCUGAUGGGGGUGAUGAGGAGGGGAAGCAGCAAGCUCUCUCUUCUGCAGAGGGUGACUAAUUCUUUCUCUACCCAGCAGGCAGUAGAUCACCAGGCAGCCUCUCCAGCCAUCAGGGACCUCUCUGCUCUCAAAAUCAGCAAGCUACCUUCCCAGGCAAAAUUAUGCUUUCCCUUCUCUCUCUCUCUCUCUCUCUCUCUCUCUCUCUCUCUACAAACGCCUACUUAUUGGUUUUAUUUCUACCUUUUGCUGUAUUAUUAUCUAAUGACCAGAAGGUCCAAAAUUUUUGCUAUGAUUGCAAAUGGAAAUACAAAUCCUAAGUUUUAAAAUUUUUGAAAAAACUAAUUUAGAACUUCUAUUUCGACUAUAGAAUAAAUUAUUUAAAAUUUUAGAUUAAAUCGCUGUUAAGUUUUUUUUCGUAAUUGUACUAAGGAGAUAACACUACAUCAAAUAACCCUACACUUUAGAAGCGAUUUGGAAGUCGUGAAGUCGGAGAACGAGGAGCCCGUGAGUUCAGCGAACUCGACUUCACUUUUGCUCUCCACCCAGCGGAAGUCAAUUGACCGAUCUCUGUACAAUAUUCAUAAGUGGAUGAUCGGACGAUCUGACAAUUUCGGUGUCAAAACAAAUGGCGGCGCCGUCGACUAUCUGGGAUUGCAAAUUUAACAUCCAAACUUACAGAUAAAUUUUCGAAAAUUCCCUCACCUCAUGUUGUUGAAUUAGAAGAUUUUUCUUUAGUCAUAUUGAUGAGGUCAGCAAUCCAAUUGAAUAGCUAUGGCAGAAAGUGAUGAGGUCAGCAGCUAAAUUACAUAAAAUCCCGAUUUUUCACUUUUCUUCCUACCAUUUAAAAAUUUAUACUUUACCUUCUUAUAAAAUAAAAAAUAUUCACUUCGCUCCUUGUUAGUAAUCCGUUAAGGUUCCAUUUAUAAAAUAUUAUUAUAUAUUUUUUUAUGAUAAAAAUGCCCUUAGUAUUCUCUCCUGUGAACAUGGUGGGGGGCAAAAUGGUUAUUUUAUCAUCAAAGUUCACACCGUACCCCUGUGAACAUUUAUUUUUUUAUAAAGGGGUAAAAUGUAGAUUUUUAAAUGACAGGAGAGGAAAGUGAAAAAUCGAGUUUUGACAAGAAAAUUUUCAGCAAUUAAUUUAGCCAAAAUAUAUUAGAUAUUUUUUGAAAGUUUAAAAAAUAAAUUAGAUAUUGAUUUUUUUAUUAUAGAAUUAUUAUUUGUAUUUUUAAAGUUAUGGUGUAAAUUUUAUGCCGACGCAUCUAAGCGUCGUACAGACUUCUUUUAAUAUUUAAAAAAAUAAAUUGAUAGGAUUAGUGCAAAAAUGUGUUUUUUUUUUUUUUUUUUUUUUCGGAGAGAGAUAGGUAGCACGCUGCCCGCUUCGUUUAUUUCAUUUAGAAAUAAACUUAGCUAAAAAUGUGAAUCAACUAGGAUUCGAACUUGGAUCUCGAGUAUCAACCACCAAGCCUUUUGUAGGGACGGUCGGUAUUAGUGCAAAAAUAUUGUUAUUGGAUAUUUAGCCUAUGUACCAUUGGAUAUUAUUAACAGUAAAAUUUGCAUUAUUUUUUUGGGUGUACGUAUAGCGUCACUCUUUUUAUUUCUUGGAUUAAUUGCACCCAACAGUCCAAUCCUUACCUUUUUUCUAAAAGAUAUUGGUCUAAUUUUCUUUUUAACAAUAAGGUUCUUGUAUUUUAUUAUUUAUUUCAAUUAUUCGGUUGUUUCAACAAUGUUUAUAUUGCCAAUAUAGCACUAAUGUGGUGAAAAUUAGUUGGCGAGUUUAUUUUUAAAAAUAUAAACGAAACAGAUAGCAUAUUAUUUUUCUCUCUUUUAGAUGGGAAAGAAAUAUUUUUUGGCCACGUUCGGAUGCAUAAAAAUAUGUCGCUUACAAGUAUAUAUUUUUUAAAAUUUACUCAACAAUUUUGCAAUAGUUGAUCUCUCAUGAAAUAAGUUAUUAGUGGAUAUAAUAAUUCAAUAUCAAAACAUAGCAUUAAUAUUCUAAAUAUUUUCUUUUGAAAAAAAAUAAAAAAAAAAAGUGCAGCUAAUUGGGAGGACGCCGUUGGUGUAUCUGAACAAGGUGACAGAAGGGUGUGAGGCCCGGGUGGCGGCCAAGCUGGAGUUCCUGCAGCCUUCCUUCAGCGUUAAAGACAGGUUUGUCUGCCACCACUGACUUUCUAGAUCCGAAUGCUUUCGGCCAUCGCCUGGCACCAACCGAGUCAGAGCCGUCCAUUUUUUACUGUAUUUAUUAAUCAGCGCCGUACGUUGUGGGUAAUGUUUCGUCGUCCCACUUGGUUGUCGCGCAGGCCGGCUUUUUCCAUGAUCGAAGAUGCUGAGAAGAGAGGGUUGAUAGCUCCAGGCAAGGUUAGUCCACUAAAUUUGCAACCAAAAAUUACCGCUGUCACUGACCGUCUUUAGAGCAAGUGGCAAAGGACUUGAUGGUUGGUACCCGAGACUCAAGUUCGAAUUCUAAUUGAUUCACAUUUUCAGCUAAGUUUAUUUCUAAAUGAAAUAAACGAAGCGGGUAGCGUGCUACCUAUCUCUCUCAGAAAAAAAAAAAAAAAUAUUGCUGCUGUCUGUUCCAUUUAUUUUUCAUUUAUUUUUUUAGAAAAAUAAAUUCAAAUAAAAAUAUGAAGUAAUUAAGUUUUAAAUUUAGGAUCUCAGAUUGUGAAAUAUAUAAAAUAACUGUUAUAUUCUAAAAACGUUCGCGGAUAGAAAAUAUUAUUUAAAUAUUUUUAUAUUUAACAUUUCUCUCACGUCUGGGUUGGAGAAUUUUUGUACGCCCAUGACGUGAAAUUGAAUUAAAUAGAAGGAAAUUAUAAUAAUAGGUGCUUGCCGUGAUUCAAAUUUAAUAUUUUCUGCUUUGAUGUUAUGUGAAAUAUAUGAAACAAUCGUUGUACUUCAAAAACUUAAACUGAUAGAGAACUGUGUUUAAAUAUUUUUAUAUUAAUGCAGAUGCCAAUCAUUUGAUCCUUAGCCAACUUGCAUUAGGUACAAUCGAUAUGAGUAUAAAUCAUAUACCCAUCAUCCAAUGAUUUAUACCGUUAGAGGUUGUUUGAUUGCAUGCAAUUAAAAUUACACUGUAGUUUUAGCUGUAUACGAAUUCAAAGACGGUAUUGGACUAAAAAUACUCUCUGUUUUUUUUCUAAAUGGGAAGUAACGAUACCACCCAAUAUUAAAAUUUGAAUAUACAAUUCUCAACUGUAUGGUGUUAAACAAAUUAUUAUAAGUGUACCGCUUUUUAUUACAUCCAACCAAAUAAAAUACAUGUAGCUAUUACUGCCUUAUUUUUUUAUUUCAAUUGUAUCUAUCUCCAACCAUACAUUGUUUACAAUUACCUCCAACUAUAUAAACUUCCUCUUAAAUUUUCAAUUUUUCCCUUUUUUUUUUAAUUUAUCUAAUAAUACAGUAGACUCUUCUUGUUAAACUAAAUUAAAUUACUAAUUAAACAGGCUCAGAUCCUGCACGUGAUUGUAUUAAAUUAAAACAAGAGAUAAAUUAAUCUAUCUCUUUUCUUUAAACGUACGAAGAAAAUUAAAAAAAAAUAAUUGAAAGAAGAAAUUAGAGAUCGCAUCCUGUCCCCCACAUGAUCGAGUUACCAUCCCCAGGGUACUCCAUAGAUCUUUUUUUAAAAAAAAUACACUAAAUUAAUUUUUAUUUAAAGUUUAAUUUAUUUUUAUUCAAAUUAGUUUAAAUUUUAUCUAAUUAUUAAAUUUAUUUUUAAAAUGUCAAAUUAGUUUCAAUUGGAGUUUACCCUAACCACUUUCAUCCCUAGCGUGAUGGCCUUCGAAUUGGCAAUUUUAAAAGUAACUUUUUAAAUAGAACAAGCUUAAGAAUCUUAUUUUCACCUAUUGCUGUACAAUUUUCCUACUAUACAAUCUUUAUACUGUUGUUGUUGUUGUUGUUGUUGUUGUUGUUGUUGUUGCUGCAAUAGAGUGCCAUAUCAAUCCAUUUUCAAAGGCCAUAUUAAUAGUAGAUCAACAUAGUGGACAUACUAUACCUUGUCUAACUUCUUUGACAACCUAUCUACAUUUUGUUUCUGAACACUAAAUUACAAUCCAAAAAAUUAAUCUUGUUAGAAAGAACUCACUUAAGAUAUCACAUUAGCUCCACAUACCGACACAUUAAUUGAUUCUAUGUUUAUAUCAGACGACUUUGAUCGAGCCAACGUCGGGGAACAUGGGGAUCAGUAUGUCGUUCAUCGCGGCUCUGAAAGGUUACAAGAUGGUGCUCACCAUGCCGUCGUACACGAGCCUCGAGAGGAGGGUCGUCAUGAGGGCGUACGGUGCAAAUUUGGUGCUGACUGACCCUGCCAAAGGGAUGGGCGGAACUGUGAAGAAAGCGUAUGAACUUAUGGAGUCCUAUCCCGACGCCUUCAUGCUUCAGCAGUUUGAGAAUCCUGCAAAUGAUAAAGUAGCUUAACCUCUUCUUCUACAUGUUAUAUUUUUUACGUACUUCGAAUAGUAUCAUCUUUUCAAGCUCUUCAUGCCUAUCGAUAAGAAUUCACGUCUCUAUUCGUCUUUACGAAAGUAGGAUUUAGCUAAUGAGUGACAAGAUUUUGCAAUCAUGAGAUUUUAAGAUUAACAAACUUAAAAGUGCUUAUAUUUUGUACUAAUUUCGUCUCGCCAGUUUUAUUCAUUUUACUGUUAGAAAGAAGCAAUAGGAUAUCUUGGGUAGUUCUCGAUUCGGCUAUAAAAGUUUUUGUUUCAACUCUGUAUUAGUCAGACUUUCUUAGUAUUUCAUAUCAAAAUGAAUCGAAGUGAAUAAUUAAAUAUAACUUUGUUUGCAAUUAGAUUUUCUUAUAUACAUACUUCCUAAUGUCCGCAAUUGACUAUUUUAUAGAAGUGAAACUGAAAUAACUAUGAUCAGAUCCUAAUUCUGCACAUUUGUCAUGUUUCUGUAUAUUUGAAUCUAAAUACCCAUUUUUGUUUUAUAAAGUUAUGUUUAAUUAUUAUUUUUUUCUAAUACCAGAUCCAUUUUGAAACCACUGGCCCUGAGAUAUGGGAAGAUACUCUAGGGCAAGUCGACAUCUUCGUUAUGGGAAUAGGGAGUGGAGGUACUGUGACUGGUGUUGGGAGAUACCUGAAAUCUAUGAACCCUAAUGUCAAGGUAUUGUGUUACUCAUUCCGAAAUACAACUAAAUAGUUUGAGUGCCUUUUAUGAUAGCUUCUAUGAUACUAAGUCGUUGUAUUUAGUCGUCGAUUUAAAGCUUACGAAAUUAUGUACUCAAUGAUUUCACAGUUGUCGUUUUUUGUAGAUAUAUGGAGUCGAGCCUGCUGAAUCAAAUAUUCUGAAUGGUGGUAAACCAGGUAUUGCGGUUAUAUUUCGUAAUAUUAUCUUUUGAAAAUAUGAUCAAAGGAAACAAUUGGCUAAAUGAGUUUCUUGAUAUAAAAUAUAAAAUUUAGUUUUGUUAUUCUUUCCUUCUGAUAAGAUUUGUAGAAACUAUGCCUGUUUUCAAAUUUGCGAUAUUUAGUAGCUUAAUUAGUUUGUGUAAUAAUUUGAUGUCGUCGCAUUCGGAUUACUUUUAGGCCCUCAUCUAAUCACUGGAAAUGGAGUUGGCUUCAAGCCUAAAAUUCUCGACAUGGAUGUAAUGGAGAAAGUUCUUGAGGCAAGUUACCAGCUUGUUCUUCUGAGUUAUUUUUAUAUGAUAGUUUUAGUCCUUCUAAUUUUAAAAUCAGUCUACUUUUUUUUUCCUCCAAUUUAUGAAGUCUUGCAUGUAUACUCGUCGAGCUAACUGGAGACGACUAAGUUACAGGUACGAAGUGACGAUGCGGUGAACAUGGCGAGAGAAUUAGCACGAAAAGAGGGACUUCUGGUAAUAAAUUUAUAUCUAGUCAAAUGUUACUAGCAUCGAUUAUGCAAAUUUUUGGAUGCUUCGCGAGUACUAUUUCUUGUAAUGUUGGUGUUGAUUGGAACAUUUGCCAUCAAAAUUUCUUCAAUUUUGUAGGUAGGGAUAUCAUCGGGAGCCAAUACGGUUGCAGCACUUAGUCUUGCGAGUAAGCCGGAAAACAAAGGGAAACUUAUUGUGGUAUGUUGCUUUAGUCUUAAUUAAAAAGAUCAAAUAUCUUCACAAACUAUUCUCCAAGUUUACGCAACUUCACUUUCUAUAGUAACACUGUUACAGUUAUAUGACUACACUGCCAAGUCGGUACAUUCAUUAUCAUUAUUGGCUGAAUCUAAAUACAAGAGUCGUUGUUAUGUGAAUUGAGAUAUAUGCCUGAACCUGAGUUACAUCAUUUGAUGACAAUCAACAAUAAUUUAAUGGUAUAGAGCUGAUCAUUUCCUGUUCAUAACUUGCUAGAUAUUAUCUUACUGUUGUUCAGGCUUUUUAACAGUUCUAUUUCUAGUCGAAUAUUCAUUUGCAGCUCCUCUUUUUUUUUUUCCCCUCCCCUUUUGGGUUCACAUCCAAUGUUUGAAUUAGAGAAAUCUCAUUAUUAACCAGAAUUGCAUUAUAUAUCGAGCAGUUAUAAUCCAUGCUAAAGCAUCUCUAGGUCUUUUCCAAUUUUUUUGAGGUUAGUUUGUCAUUACGCAAAGUGAAGUGUCGAAUAUAAAAUAUUUAAAACACAGUUCUCUAAUAGCUUAAGUUUUUGAAGAAAACAGUUGUUUCAUAUAAUAUGACAUGGUAUCAGAGCAGAAUGACUGCAUUUGAGACCGGGAAAUUUCCUCAAGAGUGGUGAAGAGCAAGUCUAAUUUGACAAUCCAGAGCAUUCAUUAGAUAGCUAGUCUAGUAGCAGUUAAACUCUCCUCUUCCAACGAUUGUUUCAUAUAAUUUCACAGUAAGGUACUAAUUAAGUUGAUGUGUAGCACAAUAAGAAUGGUUACCAAGUAUACAAGCUUGUAGAGAUUACUCUCCACCUAGCAUUUUCCGCCCUCAUUUAUUCAAAAACAGAUCUAGGCUACUGUUGAGUAGUGUAUUUGAAGCCGGAUAUCUUGAGCUUUUAUCUGUCAGAUCGAAAUCGCAAUUCACGAGCCGUGUGGUUACAAGGGAGUCGCUUGUUAUGUAAAUGCAGAUUCUUGAUCAAUUAACACCUAUUGCCCUCUGUUGUCAGUUAAUUUCAGAAAAAGUUCAAAAAGUUUCCUUAACAGACAUCAUGUAUAUAUACUUGUUUUAUUUGAAAAGUAACAUAGAUUAACAUAUUCAUUUCAAGUUCCCCUCUAAAUCCAAUUCUCUCACCUGUUUACUUAAAUAAGUUGCGAAGACUAAUUUGAUCUUGCGCGCUAUCUAAAAUUACUUACAGACGGUUCAUCCGAGCUUGGGGGAAAGAUACUUGUCAUCAGCUUUGUUCGAGGAACUAAGGCAGGAGGCCGAAAAGAUGCAACCUGUUGAAGUCAAGGACUAAGUACUCAUAUAAUCUGCUAUUGCGCAUAAUUCCAAGUUUCUCAAGUGUUCUCGCCUUUUCUUUUUUCAUGUUGUAGAAGGAGAUCACAAAAAAUUGAGAACUUGCGCAUUAUUAAUUCUGAUUGUCAUUUCUCUGCGACGAUAUCACAAGGAUAUUAAGAUGUAAGUUGAUGGUAAGAACUUCAACUGCUCCUUUGUUUGCGACUUCGUUUAAAUAGUUAUUAAGAAAAUUCAUCAAGUGAGGUUUUCACUGCACUGAGAAUAGGUUUUAGCUAUUCAAUGCUUUGCUGAACUGUCCUUAUUUUAUUUCUGCAAGUGAAGCUGAUUUCAGAACUGCCAAAAUCUCUUGAAUAUCCAAAAUUAACCGAAAGUUACUCGGAGUUGCGUACCCUGAUGAAGACUAUUCUCUAGGCAUUACAGAGGUCUCCUAUAAUCAUGAAUCGACGUCGCUAAUUUUUUGAGUUUUCUGAGCCUCACAAUAAAUUUUGUUAGUAAUCGCCUUGUUGAGCUAAUUAUAUUGGGCCUAUUUCUUAUUUGGGCCUUGCUAUUUGGGCUAUGUAAUUUGGUGAAGUCAAAAUCUCCCCUUUCUAUAUUUUCUUAUCAUGUAUGUGGGCCCCUAUUUGUAAGCUUUUGGAUCAUGAUUCUUUUGAUCCAAAGGCCCAUAUUGUUAGCCUCUUCUCUUAGGGAGCUAAAGUGGGAUAUUAGAAUAGAGAGAAAAAAUAGAGAGAGAAGUAAAGAGUGAGAAAAAAAGUGGGAGAAAGAGAGAAACCCUAGAGUUGGUUUUGAUCUUGGUUCUAUCAAGAAGGAGGUGUGAUCUUCCUUGUGAGGUGUGGUUUACACCAUUUGGAUAGAGCUAGAGAUUGUUGGAGCUCUCUUUUAUAUCUUGGAGUUAAUGUGAUAUUUCUUCUAUUUGAAUUUCUCUUGUAAUCUCCAAAUUUAUAGUGGAAGCUUCUUUUGCAUUGUUCUCCCGUGGAUGUAGGCAUGGCCGAACCACGUAAAUCUUUGUGUUCUUGUGAUUUGGUUUAUUUUGUUAUUGCUCUUGUGCUUGGCUCUCCAUUUGAUGUUUGUAGAGAGUGGGUUGUGAAAUUGCCCACCAAGUGUUUGUGAAAUUGACACCAAUAUUUUUCACUCUCAUUUGACAACACGCCUACAUAGUUUUAAAUAUUAAUUGCACUAGUGGCCUCUGGAAUUUUGCCAAAGUUUUCUUUUGGCCCCUAUUUUUUGAAAUUGAACUUAAUGCCUCAUAAUCGUUUAAUACAACAUGUCAAAUUGGGCUGUUUCAUCAUCUGAUAUUAAGUUCAUUAAUCUUUUAAUAAUAUUUUUUUUAUAAGAAACUUGGUGUCAUAACGUUUCUUUCCAUCUGAAAACAAUAUCUGUUGUCAGAAAGAGUUUUGUUUUGAGUUAGUUCAACCAUCCGUUUGCCAUCCGUUUGUUAAAUGAUAGGGUCUCAUUUGUGUUUUCAGUACAAAUAUGAGUUCAAAAAUCUCUUACCUAGCAUUUAGUUCAUUUUUUCAUCAAUGAAAUCGAAGUCUAAUGACAAAAUGAAUCAAUUUGGUAUACUUUAUUGAAGUUCAGGUGCAUUAAGAUUACUUUUAAAAAAUAGGAUGCAAAGUAAUACUUUGAUGUAUUUAAUAGGGUUUUUUUUUUUUGAAGUUUUUUUUUAGGUACAAGAAAAAGGCCCUAAUUAAAUCGAGUAGCAGCAAUACGAGAAAAUUAAUUGGGUAUAAGUGUGGCCUUCACGUGGGCUGAAAACGCAGCUCGUGAUUGUUAGCGUAGAUUGUAACGGUGGAAGAAGUGAGAGAAUAAUUUGAAGAAUUAAAUUAGCGAAUGAUUGUCCUUGUUUUUAGUAAAUUAAGUAGUUAUUCUUACGAAAAAGUAUAUAUGUCUUUUCAUUUGAUGCAAAGGCGUGUCCCUUUACUCAGGGGGGUUGAGUUUGGCUAGAUCGGUGUGGGGGGGGGGGGGGGGUGACAGGGAGGGUGGGCAUUCUUUAGUUUUCUUUAAUUUUUAUUUAAAUGCUAUAUUUAGUUAGUUAAAAUUUGAUCAAGUUAAUAAUCACUAUAGUUUUUAUCAAUUUUGUCUCUGCCUUGAUGGUCGGAGGGUAUAUAAUUGUUAUAUCCAAGUGAUUUGGGUUAAGAAAAUCUUUUGAUUUAAUAAUAAAUUUUGAUUUAAUUUAACAUUAAAUUCGAUGGAAACUAAUAUUAUUAUUGAUUAUUAAAACUUGAUAAUUUUCAGACUAAACUAAUAUAGCAUUUAAAUAAAAAAAACACUAAAAACUAAAGAAGUCUAAGACAAAAGGGCCGAUUUCGAAAAUGUGUCUAAGUAGUUACAUCUGCAACUAGGAAGGCAAAUCUAAAAGUUAUUUGGUUGGCGUAGUUGGUCGAGUUGCAGUUCUGUACUCGUUACAAUUGAAGCUGCAGUUUGAGGCCAACUGGUGGUCAUAUUCGGACAUCCCAUGAGAUGCAAGUUAUAGAAGCAAGCAAUUGGAAGAAAUAAAUAGUUUACAUAAAGAUAAUCAUAACCUACCACUCGCACAUCUUAAUAAAAAAAAAGAUAAAUCUAGUUUGAAAAUAAUUUAUUUUAUUUCACGGAUAACAAAAUAACAAAAAUCUUGCAAAUAUACCUACCGAGCAAACAAAUAAAAUUUGUGCAUUCAAUCACAUUACAAUACUACCAAAUGAUAUUCAUCAUACAAAUAUUACACUGUCUAAGCUAUAUCUCCAAUAUAUAUAUAUAUAUAUAUGAUUAUUGUAUGUGUGUGUGUGUGUGUUGUGUUGUGUGUGUGUGUGUGUGUUAGAGACUGUCGAGCGUACUAUAAUCUAUCAGAAGUAUAGAAGAUUUGAUACUUUCGAUUUUUUGACUCUUGAAUAAAAUUUGUACGUGGGAGUAUUGCGCUCCUUUAAGCCCUCUACGAGUUGAGUAGUACCUAGGGUGAGUGGUCCCACAAGGUAUAAUAGUACUAAUUACAAAGGUUAGAAAUGAUUAAAGAGACUGAUUUAAGGGCCAUACAAGUCGCGAAAUAUCAAAUUCUUAUAUAUUUCUGAUAGUAUAAUAGCUCUCUCUCUCUCUCUCUAAUCCCUCGUUCCAUCCUCGUCUUCUCUCGUCUUAUAUAUAUAUUAUAUAUUAUAAUAUCUAGGAGAAUAGGUGGAAUACUAUUAAUAGCAUCAAUGACUAGGGCUAUUAAGUUUUCCGUCCUUAGAUUAAAAGAUGUGUGGUUAGGAUGAUGUGGGCCCCCUAGGGUUGAGUGGGUGAUUGGUUGAAUAGUAUAAUCGAACGGUUGAAAAUGAUAAAAGAGGUAAAUCUAACGGCAGAAAACUUGAUAGUACAAAAUACUUCGUGCUAUUGAUAGUAUCUCAGCCGGACUCGCUCUCUCUCUCUCUCUCUCUCUUUCUCUCUUUAUAUAUAUAUAUAUAUAGUCCGACUGCUAUGCUAUCGAUAGCACCAAACACUUGGUGCUAUCAAGUUUUCUGCCGUUAGAUUAACCCCUUUGAUUAUUUUUACCCGUUAGAUUAUACUAUUCAACCAACCACCCACUCAACCCUAGGGGGCCCACAUCAUCCUAACUGCAUAUUUCUCAAUCCAAAGGCUAAAAAUUCAAUAGUACCAAUAACUUGGUACUAUUAAUAGUAUUCCAGCCUAGUUCUAUAUGUAUAUAUACUGUAUUUAUAACUAAUUAUUUAUAAUAAUUACUUCUUGAAUAAGAUACUCAACACCUCCCACUUGGACCACGAUUAAAUAUCAUAGAUCUCCUCAUCCACAUGUCACCAUAAAAAAAUUGCCACGUGUCCACAAAAAAUACAUCCCCCUCCACAAGAAACGGAAAAAAGAUCCGCAUGGGCCCACGUACGUACAUUCUCAGCCACGGAUCACCCCAAGUCCCCUAACAGCGUAUUAAUUAGCAAGAAACUAGAUUUUACAAAUAGAUCACACGGUUAAAUUUUAGCCCUUUAAGGAUGAUCACACGGCUAUGAUUUGCUAGAAAACGAUUAGGAUAUAAUAUACACGUACUCCGCGUCUCUCUCCUCUCUUUCUCUCUCUCUCUCUCUAAAACCCCAAGUUUUCCGUUGAGUACGUGCCACUCUUUGUACUUGCUUUUAAGCUUCCACCGAAACCUUACCCAUUUCUCCAAGCCACGGAGCUAAAAUUAAUUGUGGGGUAAAAAUGUACGGAGACCCCUCGUCUAUAGCAGCGCCUGAAAGAGCCCCUUCUACUUCUAAUUUUUUAGUUAAAUUAAAAAUUUUAUCAAAUUUAAUAAUUAUAUUAGUUAUGAACUGUUAACUAACCUAGUUUUAUUUGCUGAAAAAAAUAAAAUAAUUUAAUUUGGCGAAAUCUGCAUCAAUGAUUUUGAUAGAAUCUCCAAUUUUCUUUGACUAAAAUUACUUAAUUUUUUUUAAAAAAUCAAGAGGUCUCAAUAAAAAAAAAGGUUGAGGAAACUAUUUUAGAAUUGCCUAAACUCGAGGGGUCUUUAUACAUUUUUACCAUUAAUUUAUGUAUAUAAGCUUUCUAUGUUAUCUCCAUGNUUUGAGAUAGCUAGAAGGUGAUGAGCUACUUAUUUGCAAGCUUAAAGGGACAGUAAAGAUAUAUGUAUAUAUCACUUCUUUAAUUUAUUGAGGAAACUAUUUUAGAAUUGCCUAAACUCGAGGGGUCUUUAUACAUUUUUACCAUUAAUUUAUGUAUAUAAGCUUUCUAUGUUAUCUCCAUGACAUAUAAUAAGCCUUUAACUCAAAGAUUAUUCCUCAAUAAAUUAAAGAAGUGAUAUAUACAUAUAUCUUUACUGUCCCUUUAAGCUUGCAAAUAAGUAGCUCAUCACCUUCUAGCUAUCUCAAAGAAGGUUUCUUCUUUUUACUUAUAGAAGCAUCUCUUGCUCUCUUCUUCUUCUUCUUCUUCUACAUCUUCUUUGGUUGCACUCUCACCACCCAUUGUUCUUUCAUUUAUAGUUCAUUCGGGUAUCCAAAAAAUAGAGGGGAAAUAUGUGUAUGAAGUUCAACAUUUUUAGCUCAUGCAAACACCAAGCUAAUAAGAAAGGUAAUACCACCCAUCAUGUACUUUCAUAAAACAAAACAUAUGCAUUACUUUCUCAUAUUUAUACUCAUAUAUACAUGCAUGUUUUGUUUGAAUCAGCAGUCGAUGGAGUCGUCAUUCCGAUCGCUUCGACGAGCUUCAACCUCCGCGAGGAGUAUGCAAGUGCGUUCCGCACCGAGUCCUAUAACGAGUUCUGGGCCCGCGUGCUGGAUCUCACCUUAGACCACGGUGCCACUCUCAAACCGAGUCAUGAGAGCAGCAGCAGCAGCAGCAGCAGCAGCAGCACUGCGGCCGCCCGCCUCCCUUCCUACCGCCUCUUCGCGGAGCACUUGCUCGACCCUGACCAAGCUACAGUCACUGAAAUUCUCGCCGAUGCACGAAAGCAUUGUCACCCGGAAGUCCACUUCCUCCUCUCCGAAUACUACUCCGAAACUGCGAACGCCUCCCUCCUCUUCAGCCUCAUCUUGAAGGACAUUGAACGGAUACGCGCCCGAUACCGCCCGCUCAAGGCCGUGCUCCGAUCGCUCGUCUCCGAUAACCCCCCGCCGCAGCAUAGCAUCCAAGCCAUUGAUAAAUACCUGGCCGAGGUUUCAAAGACGUUCAAUCCAUUUCAUUUUCUAGCUUCGUCUCAACGACAAUUCCGCAUGGUGCAAGGCGGCUCCGCCGAUCUGCUCAAGCAGCUCGAGGCAAGCCGCAAGAAGGUGAAAGCCAAGCUGCGGCUUGUCAACUGGCUAAAGCGAGCAUUCGGUUUCUCUUUAAUCAUUAUCACAGCCUCGACGGCAGUGAUCGGCGCAUUGAUCAUGGUGCAUGCGUUGAUGGCUUUAGUAGCUCUACCCGCGCUUCUUCCGGUCACAAUGUCUUCGCGGGUGGGCCGUGCGGUAGCCCAGCUCGACGCGGCAGCAAAGGGGACGUACAUACUGAACAGGGAUUUGGAUACCGUCAGCCGACUCGUGGCGCGGCUACAAGAUGAGGUGGAGCACGUGGCGGCGCUGCUGAGAAUGUGCGAGGAGGAGCGGCGGCGCGUCAGGCGGGGAAGGCUGGUGCAGGAGGUGGUGCGGGAGGUACAGAGAAAAGAUGUGAGCUUCAGGAAGCAGCUGGAUGAGCUGGAGGAGCACCUUUACCUCUGCUUCAUGACCAUUAAUAGGGCUAGAAGGAUGGUGAUGAAAGAGGUUUUGUGUGUAAAAUAGAUACAUGUGCAUGUGUAAAUAUAGGGUUUCAAGUGCAUUGGUUAUACAUGAAUAUAUAUUAGUGAUUAUCAUGCAGGAUUGUAUAGAAACUUCUAAUUAAAACAUAUAAUAAUUGUUGGAAGCCCUAGCUGCUUCCAUACUGUUUCGCCUAGUUUAUUUCUCAAUGAAUGAAGCAGGUAGCUAGUCUACCUCUUUCUCAAACAUUAAAAAAAAAAAAAAAAUAAAUAAAUAAAUAAACUGUUUCCUCAUUUUCUGAUUGGUUUUACAAAUAGUUUACCGUAGCAUUUUUUGGAUAUUUAAGCAGUAAUCAAAUUGCUGCCCAAAUGAUGCUGCAUGGAUUGUGUUAGGAUUUUGGUUAAAUUAGAAUAAAUAUUUAAAUCUAUAAAAAUUAAAUUGAUUAUAAAAUUAAUUUGAAUAAGAUUUUUAAUUAUAUUAGAAUUGAAUAUGUUUUGUAGGCUCUAUAUGUAAAGCACAUUAUUGGAUUCUACGGCCAUAUGCUAGGAUAAUUAGAGGCUGGCCAAAGUUAGGUGUUCCACUGCGAGGUGAUGAAGAGUUGCAUGUGCUUGGUGUAUGGUGCGUACGAGAGUACUAGCCUUCUAAUUAAGUUUAUACAAGACGAAAGAAUGAUGAUAGAGAUUCAUGAAAAAGGGUUGGAUUGAAACUAUUUUGUGUAGAAGAGAAGUCCAGCAUAAUUCUUCUUUUAGUUAGUAAAUCUUAUUUUACCUGUAUUUUCUUUUUAUUUUUUCUCUAUUUUAUGAUUGUUUCAGUUUCUGCUAAUCGAGAAGAUGGUUUAUGGUAAAAUAUCUAUUUUCUUCUUGCACAGAUUGCAUGAUUCCGGUCCAAGCCAACCCCUUUUCUUUUCAAAUUAUCAGCUAUAAGUAUCCUAUUCCACACAUCAACCACAUGAAGAUCUCGGCGGCCGGUCUUCCAAAUAAGAUUGAAUUGUUGUCUUUAACACCCCGACAUGCCAGGAAUCAGUUGGCUGAAACUACCGAGAACAUCCAAUCACUCGUCCACCGCCAUUGUAUCAUGCCGCUAGAGUUUAGCAUUUGCCAAUCUUUAGGUUCUGAAGUUAGAAUUUGUUUCUAUUCUUGGGCUUGUUCAGUUCAAGGACCAAAACAAGGGAGGUUCCACUCCACUCCACUUCAUGGAGCAAGCAAGUAAACAAUCGCAGAUUUAGACCGAGAGGCCAUAUAAAAAUAUGGAAAAACAUUCUUGAAACGUGAGUUGUUGUACUUUUUUCAUUUCGUACAGUCCAUUCUGUUAUAAUUUGUUGGCUCCUUUCCGACCCAAGCUGGUAGAAUGAAAAAGGCAUGAAGUGCAAUUAAGACGGUAUUUAGUAAAGUAAGGCGGCCUCCGAUGGAAAGGAGCAAGCUCUUCCAGCCGGCCAAUCUUUUACCUAUCUCUAUGAUUAGCGAUAGAUAGUUUCGCUGCUAAAGUUUUGUAUGUUGAAAAAAUACCGCACUGAAAAUCCGAUUGUAGUUAAAAUCUAACUAGUUUUGUGAUGAAUAUAAAUAAAUUAACUUACAGAUUAUCGCUAAAUCCCAAAAAUUGUGGAAAAAAGCUGCCAAAACAAUUGAUCUGGAAGCGUGCAUAGCACUGUCCUAAGGUGUAUUCCCGUCCUCACAUGCGGGAUUAACUGAGAACAACACCCCAAGGUUCGACCGGAAUUUCUUCUUCUGCGAGCACGAUCAUGAAGGAAAUUGACGGAGACUCUUUAAACACCCGGUGAUAAAAAAGAUCAAGCCAAUAGAUCAAAACAAUCGAAGAAAAUUAAAUAACAGAGGCUUCUCUCUUUAAUUUUCUUUUCUUUUUCUAUUCCAAAACAAAGCUCUCUGUCAUGUCACUACAACAAAAACGGUCUAUAGCGAUACUUUCAAAUAUCGGUACAGAUCAAAAAAAAUGCUGCUGGCUAAAUUACCAACACUUUUAAAAAGUGUUGCUAUAUGUGGGGUUGCUAGAUAUAUAGUGACAAUUAAAGAGUGUCGCUAUAACCUAAAAAGAGUGUUGCAAAUUUAGCAACACUUAUUUAAGCAUCUAGCAACCGCCAGAACUCUACCUUGUUGGCUGCGGUAGCGGAGGAGGACGAGAGGGAAGAGCCCUUCGUCUAGGAUGUCAGUAGAAUGAGUGAGAGGAGAAGGGGAGAUGAUAAUCGAUUUUUCUUUAUUUUUUCUUUUUUGUUUGUAAUCGGACCAAAUGGGCUGGGUUGGGUGGGUUGAGUAGAGUAACAUUUUAUUUUUUGUUGGAUUCGGCUUUAUAUUUAGACAUUAGUAGAUGUUUUUUUAAAUUUUGGCAUAAAUGUGACACUUAGACAAAAAUGUCCCAAACAUGUGUCGCUAUAACCUAAUUCUGUUAUAGUGUGUGUAUAUACGACCCAUGAACAAUGGAGCUCCUCUUUAUAAAGCAAGGGUGAAAAGUGAAAUGUUGGGCAACGUUCCACUCUGGAAUGUUGGGCACGCACUAUCGUAGUUAGUUAAUUCGGAUACAAUAAAAAUUCGGUACGGAUAAAAUACGAAUAAAAUUCGUAUCUUAAUUUUUAAAUUCGUUGAAAAAUACAGUUUAAAAAUCGGAUUCGUCAAUAAUUCGUGUAUGCGAUUUAUACGAGAAUUUUAUAUUUAUCAUUAAAAAAUUAGGAAUAAAAAUUCGUCUAUUAAAUUGAUUUUUUUUUAGAUUUAUACUAUUAUCAUAAAUAGUUAUGAUUUUAUAAAUAUAAAAAUAAAUUAAUAUAGAAUAAUAUAUCUAUACUACAUAUAAAAGCACGUAUAUUCAAAUUUGGGUCUGUCGACAGACCCAUUUUUCGGCGGGAAAAUUAGCGCCCAUUUUUUUCUUUUCGUACAAAAAAUUUUAAAUAUAAGAAUAAAAAUAGAAAUAGAACAGCAAUGAAUACGUAAGUUCUCUAUAACAGAUUACUGAUGUGAAAAUCCUAAAAUAUAAAUUUUUCUAUUUAAUUUCAAAAGUAAGUUUUCUAUAACAGAUUACGGGUGUGAAAAUCCUAUAAAAGAUAUUUUCCUAUUUUAUUUUAAAAUAUCUUUUUUAGAUAUUAUCUAUUUAAUUUCAAAAUAUAUUUUCUUUUUAAGAUAACGGAUUUUAUUUUUCUAUUUAAUUUCAAAAAUUUAUUUCCUAACAGAUUUUAUUUUUCUAUUUAAUUUCAAAAGUAAUUUUUGCAUUAGAGAUUAUUGUUAAUUAUUUAUCAUUUAAAGCAUAUCUUUCUUAAUAGCGUGAUUUAUUAUUUUAAAUUUUUUAGAUACAUAUUUGGCAAUCAUAUAAAAUAUGGCCUAAAAUUAAAAAAUAAUUUAAAAAAAUUAUAAUUUUUUCUAAUAAUUAUUAUGUGCAUUUGCACGUACAUUUUACUAGUAUAUAUAUAUACAUAUAGAGAGAGAGAGAGUCACACUCUCACGCACAAAGGGGGCAGAGAGUGAGAGGCCCACCGUGGACCUCUCACUCCUGCACGGUCCACAAGGCUGAGUGCAGCCUUGUGGACCCCGCCAUUUCCGAACCCCCUACACCUCCUGGACCCCGCCAUUUCCCAUACCCUACACCACGAUUUCUUCUUCCUUGCUCCGCUUCUUUUCUUCCUCACUUCUCCUUUUUGCUUCGUCUCCAUAUUUUUUUCAAAAUCGAACGGGCAAGAUUGCUCAGCUGCUCACGAGAAGGUGCACGGACUCGCGGAGCGGUGGUUGCGCAAUGCCGAUUCGAAAAAUUUCUCCUUUCCGCAGCCGCUCAAUCUAUUUUUUUUUCAAAAAAUUUCAUAUUUUCAGAGCUGCUUAAUCCGAAUUUUUCAGAAUAUAAUUUGGGGAUGCGGAUUUGAUCGUGAAUUCUCUGAGCAUGGGAAAAAAAUGCGUUUUAUUCUGAAUUUUUGGAAAAAAUUCGGAAACGGAGUAUUUUAUAUGGUUUGCAUUUUUUUUUAAUAAUUCACGUAUAAUACGCGAAUUAACUAACAGAGCACACUAUGCAUGCACGAGGGAAGGGGGUGCGUCAUAAGGGGCGCACGAACGGGAGGAAACGUAAGAAUAAUGAUAAUAAAUAAAAAUAAUUAAAUAAAAUAAAUAAUAAUAAUAAUAAUAAUAAUAGAGGAUUUUGGAUUUUCCUCCAACAUUGUAGGUGAGAGAGAAAAGCCUAAGUAGUAGAUAGGAAAAUUAUGUUGUUGAUAUUGUAAGGAAUUGGUGAGUACUAUAGCUUCAUUCUCAAUUGAAUGAUUGUUCUAUUAGGCGGUGAGUGAGAUUUGGGUAUUUUUGUUUAUUUGUCCUACUUUUGCUGAUUAAUUUCAUUGUGGUUUAAUGCAAAGGUAUGGGUCAACCAAACCCUUUUUCCUCAGUAAGAGAAUGCAAAGUGGUUUCUUAUGUGAAGUCAUUAGAGAGAGAGAAAUACAAUAAUGUUAAGAAUAUUGUUGCCAACAACAACCACAAAAACUUUUAUUUAAUUACUAGCCGAAAGUUACAUGCAAUGCAUAUGGUGUAACAAAAUUCACUUAAUCUAAGAUAGGAAGAUCACCCAAAAGAUGAAUUUUCUUGCAUUUCAUCUAGAAGUUCAAAGAUUAAAAUGUCUAAGUUUAAAAUAUAUAGAUCUAAAUUAAGGAAUAAUGUUCACUAUAUAUCUAGUUCCCAGCCCUUAUAUGUCUUGGAUGUAGAGAGGGCGGGUGGAAUAAUACUAUCCAAGGGCUAGAAACUAGAUAGUAAAUACUAGAGCGAGAGAGAGUUAGGCUUGUGUGCUUUUAUUAGAACGGUAGCCUCCAUGUUAUCAAGUCAUUUUCGAUAUUGCGACUGUUAUAUUUGGUUUAGAUUUGUAGUUAUCUAAAUUGGAGUUAAAUCCUAAUCUAAUUAGGAUUAUAUAUUAUUUAGAUUUAAUUUGGUAUAUAUAGAUUAUAAUUAGGAGUAUAAUUCUAAUUGAAUUAGAAUUAGACUCUAAUUAGGAGACAUGUAUUAUAUAUACAUGCUACGGCCAAGUUAAUGACGCUGCGGCCCAAUUAAGAGCCAUGCAAAAUUAAUUCAGUUGUUAGUGGUCCAUGCUCUAAUUAGAGGCAAGCUCUAAUGAUGCCGCAUUGUUAAUUAGACUCAAGUCUAAUUAAUUAAGUCAACAUGGUGCGGAUUCCGUCUGGUGAAGGAGCCGCGGCCCGUUACAUGCUAAUUAAUUAAGGUGAAGGAGCCGCGGCCUGCACAUGCUAAUUAAUUAAGGCGACAGGCAUAUUGUUGGUUCCGUACCGAUGGUUGAGAGAGAAGUUACUUUUGGAGUUGCUUUGUUGCGGCGUUUCGGAUCUAAUUAAUUAAGUUUUGGUCUUUUGAGAGAUCUUCUUUGUACUCCGCCUUUUCGACAUUAAUAAAUUAUUUGCUCCGUCUUCGCCCGUGGACGUAGGCCGUUGGCCGAACCACGUAANACAACUGUUCCAUCAGCUAAGAUUCCUUUAUAUACAUUCCCAUAGCCUCCUUGCCCAACUUGAGUUGAGCUGUUGAAAUUGUCAGUGGCCAGAGCCAUUUCUUCAAAUGUGAAGCAUUUUACACCAUCAAUUUUGAUUGAGAAUUUUGACACUGCAGAAGAUGUACAGACAGAAGGUACUUGUAAUAUAUGAAUAAAGUGAAAUGCGCAAAGUUUGAGUUUUUCAUAUACAUACAUACAUACAUAUCUUGCUCUCUCUCUCUCUCUCUCUCUCUCUCUCUCUCUCUCUCUCUCUCUAUAUAUAUAUAUAUAUAUAUAUAGCAUCAACGUCCAGGUUCUAUGCUUAGCAUAGCUUUCUUCUCUAAACUAUAAAAACCGGUGUUUUCUUCCUCACGGUAGCUUGAGAGAUUGUCAAGCAAACUUUCUAUCUCUGCAUGGUUAUGUUGUUCCCAGGUAUGUUGCUUCAUUUUUUUGAGUCUGUCAAGCUCCUCUGCUACUUCUUUCAUUGAGGGUCUGUCUUCCCCCUUGACAUUUAAGCAAGCUUUUGCUAGUACAGCAAUUUCAUUAAUCCUUUCCACAUCUUCAUCAUACUUAAUCUGAUCAUCAAGAAGUUCGCUGAAGCGACCCUCCUUCAUAGCAGAUAAGAAGGAUGAUGAAAGGCUCAUCUCUCUUUCAGUUCCUUCAAAACGAAGUGCUUUCUUACCGGUGAGGAGCUCCAAAAGAACCACUCCAAAACUAUAAACAUCGCUUUUAUCAAUCAACAAGCAUGUUUGUAGGUAUUCUGGGUCUAAAUAACCGCAAGUCCCUUGCACCAAUGUGACAAACUGUGUUUCAUCCCUAGGAGCGAGCAUAGAAGCUCCGAAAUCAGAGACCUUUGCCAUUAAAUGAUCAUCCAAAAGGAUGUUUGCGGACUUAACAUCUCCAUGAAUUAUCGGAGGGGACGCUGACGAAUGCAAGUAUGCAAGUGCUUCCGCAGACUCGAGAGCUAUUUUCAAACGAGUCUCCAAAGAUUUAUAGAUUCUACGACCGUUGCCAUGAAUCAACUGGAAUAGGUUCCCAUUGGAAAUAUAUUCAUACACCAGCAUUGGAACUUCCACCUCUAAACAACAUCCGAGGAGCUUAACUAUGUUUCUAUGGUUGACCUGGGAAAGAAUAAGCAUCUCUUUUCCGAAUUCUUUCUUCUGUCUCUCAUUAAUAAUUUUAGCUCUCUUUAUUGCUACGACAUGAUUGUCUUUGAGAAUUCCCUUAUAUACUGUGCCAUAGCUUCCAUGCCCUAUGAUGUUGUUCUUGUGAAACUUAUUCGUCGCCUGUUCGAGCUCUUUUUCUGUAAACAUCUUAAAUGCAAGGCCUUGUCUAUUUCUGAUUUCUUCCAAUAGUAGCCAGCCUCCAUGUUGUUGGAAGUUCUCCUCCUUAACUUUUAUAAGCUUUCGUCUUUCCAAUAUAAUAUGAAUACAUAACAUGAUAAUUAGAAUAAUAAGGAGGCUGAUGCAAAUGCCUGCAUUGAUAUAGAUCAACAGCAUCAGAUUAACAAUAUAGGAGCAUAAGGGUAUUAUGAACGAGUUAAUUACACUAUCAAUCCCUGAAUAUUGCAUGACUCUAAUUUUAGUUUGUGAAGUUUGAUUUGUUUCAAAAGAGCUCAAACUUUUUAAAUGUAUCGGUCCUACUAGUCCCACCGCAAGUGUCCUUCUCUCAUAAAUAUACAUAUAUAAAAAAAUUCUAACAUGACAUAUCAAAUUAAAUUACUAUUUCUAAGUCCAAUACUGCGUCUACAUUUGGACUCAAAAGUCACCUUUAUUACGGGAUAAUUAACUCCUCCCAUUCCUUCACAUGUAGAUUAAUAUUAUACUAAUGGAAUUCUUUAUAGAGUUUCCAUAUUAUUUUUAUAGACUUUGCAUAUCUCUUUCUAUGUACAACGACUAACAGGUUUAGGAGCAGUGAUAUGAUAAACUACAAUAGAAUCCCUUGUCUUCUAGCGACUAAAACAUUUGUUACGACUAAGAUUUAAACAUUUUAAAGCUUUGCACCGCCAAUUAAUAUAUAGUUUGGAAAUAGGUUGCAUAAUAUACCCACAUUAAAAUUUAAUAAUCAGUUGCUAUUUAAAAAUUUUAAUUUAUGGCUUGGGAGGCAUAAACAUAUUUUCGACUCGAAACAGAGAGCAUCACUUGCAAUCACUGAAAAAGUCUUGCUUUUCUAUUAAAUCUUGGAUGUCGAUUGUAAAGAAGAAAGUUUUCAGGUCAACUGUGGAACAUAAACUAACUUUCUAGGUGGUGUUUGGAUGGGGUAUAAGAAGGGGAAUAAGCUCUUGUUCCCCUCCUUAUACCCAAAUACUAAUUUUUUUGGUGGGAAUAAUAGUUCCGACCCCUACCUAAAACAAGCUUGUUCCUAGAGCAAGCUUGCUCCAGCGGUAAUUUUAAAUUUAUUAUAAAAUUUAAAAUUUUAAUUAUAAAAUUAAAAUUAAAAUUUUUUAAAUUUUAAUUUUUAAAUUUUAAAUUUUAGAUUCUAAAUUUUUAAAUUUUAAUAUUUAAUAUUUUAUAUUUUUAAAUUUAAAUUUUGAUUUUUAAAAUUAAAAUUUGAUUUUAAAUUUAAAAUUUAAAAAUUAAAUAUAAAAUUUAAAAAUUUAAAUUCAAAUUCAAAUUUAAUGAGAGGAGUAAUAUCAUCAAUUUUUUGUUUCUAACUACUCACCAUUUUUCUUAUUUCAUCUUAUCUAUCAAAACGUUAUUUUUUUUAUCUCCAAAAAUAAUCUAAUUUUUAUCCAAAUAUUAUAUUUUUUUAUUGUCGGAAACAAUUUAAUUUUUAUCAAAAUACAAAAUUAAUCUAAUUCUUACUUAUAUCCUGAACUGGCAUUUAUUCUUAAAUAAAUAAUUUUUAUUUAUAGUCAAACCAAAUAAAGCCUUACAAAAAAGGUGGAAGAGCUCACCUAUAACUAGCUUCGCUGCCGGUGGAAGUUUCGAGUAGCAAGUUCCCUUGUAAGGGUCGCCAUGUGUACCACGUGGGCAUGAGCACCGGUAUCCACCUUGUGUAUUGUGACAAUCCCCAGAGCAUGGAGACCUAUCCUUGUUUGCACACUCAUCAAUAUCUGUUUCCCAUAACACAAUAUUCCCAAGGAAAAAUCAACUUAAUUUGUUUGUCGAUUACACCAUUCCGUCACAAAGUGUUCAAGGAAUCCAAGUCUCAUAUUGGCACUACAACAAAAACGGUCUAUAGCGAUACUUUUAAAUGUAGGUACAUAUCAAAAAAAUGCUGCUAGCUAAAAUUACCGACACUUUUAAAAAGUGUUGCUAUAUAUGGGGUCGCUAGAUAUAUAGUGACAGUUAAAGAGUGUCGCUAUAACCUAAAAGAGUGCUGCUAAUUUACCAACACUUAUUUAAGCAUUUAGCAACCGCCGAAACUCUAUCUCGUUGGCUGCUGUGGCUGAGGAGGACGACAGUAAAGGCUCUUCGUCUAGAAUUUCAGUGGAUUGAGUGAAGAGAGAAGAAAAGAUAGUAAUUGAUUUUUCUUUUUUUUUUCUUUUCUGUUUGUAAUCGGGCCAAAUGGACUGGGUGUGGUGGGUUGAGUAGAGUAAUCUUUUAUUUUUGAUUGGAUUGGGCUUUAUAUUUUAUGCUCUUAACUAUCCAUGGAAAAACUUUCUCACACAUCACAAAAUAAAGAAAGAUGUUUCUAACGAGAGAGAUGCAAACCUUGGCACCCGUGGGGUAGAUAAGGGUUGCCUUGAAAACCCUCGGAGCAAUUACAGAGAUAGCCGGGCCCGUUCGCGGAGUCUACGCACGUGCUGUGAUCGCUUACGCAUGCGUAGGAAAUCAUGUCUUGCCGGGCUUCCGAGCAAUUCUUGUUUCUUACAGCCCAAUCGACCACCAUCGGCAGCUUACUUCUGUACAGCUUGCCGGUGGUGAUGUAGGAGGUGUUGAAUUUGAAGGCGUGUUCCUCCACCACCGCAGCGUAGCUGCACCGGCUAAAAUUGUACGUGGUGGAGCUGUUGAAGUUUUUGUCGAAGUGCACUCGGCUGUACUCUAUCCCCUGUGGGAUGGCGGUCUGGCAGCAUCCGAUGCCCGUGCACGAGCCGUUGCUCAAGUUCUCCAUGCUCCUGCACAUCGAUACGCACCCAGACAAAUAGCUAUUCACCAUGUCGCUCACUGUGAGGUAGGCCAGCGUCAUGCAACCGAUGGUAGUAAACUUGUUGAGGGUGCUGGAGAACCGGUACGGUGACGCCGUAAGGUUCUUAUGCCAGUUAUCGUAGGUCACAUUGCCGUUCGUGGCAUUGUAGCAUUGGGUCGACACAGUGUUGGUGACGCGGGCGCGGCCCAACGACAAGGAAAUGUUCAAGAAUUCGAUGUUGUUCAGGAAGGGCUUGUAGGUGCCGUUGCUGAAGGUGCAGUUGAGUGUGAAACCCUUCAUUGAGCAGUUCCGGCCGAUGCCGAAUGGAUAGGGGAUCUCGACGUCGCCGCAUUGUUCUAGGCACCCUGGCAAUGCGACUGACGUGGAUGUGAGCUGCAAUGCCUGGAGCUGGAACAGAAGCAGUCCCCACAGAAAGACUAUUUUGGUGGAGAUAGAAUUUUCUUUAGACUCCAUAGUUCUUUAGUUUGCUUUUUCUUGUUUUUCACCCUUUGGUUUCAGCUUGUUAGAGGGGGUGCACUCUAUCCAUGGUGUUUAAUAUAGAGGGAAGGGGGCCCUUGAUAAAGAGCGCCAGGAGACCAUUGCUGUGGAGUAUCGACUUUGACUCAUUCAACAACCUAGUUUUUUUUUUUUUUUUUUCCUUUUUUUCUUUUUUGUGAUUUUCUUUUCUUUUCGGUGUAUAUAGAAACACCAAAAAAUUAUUUCUUGAGUUUAAACAAAAGAGAUAUUAUUAAGAAGCAAUACUAAUCUAUACAUCCAAGCGAGAGUAAAUUUGGUGAAAACAAACGAAAUUUAUCCAAACCAUAGAUUAUUUUGAUUUGGCUACUUGCUUGUAUCUUUCAAAAUUUUGAUUUUACUAUCUAAUCUCUCAAUUCAUUUAAUUUGAGUUAAUCAACAGCAUUUUAUCUUCAAAAUUUAAGCUAACUACUUAUUUUNUACUAUCUAAUCUCUCAAUUCAUUUAAUUUGAGUUAAUCAACAGCAUUUUAUCUUCAAAAUUUAAGCUAACUACUUAUUUUAGUAAAUUUAUAUUUACGAUCGAGAAUGUAUAAAGUAUACUAACUAAACCUAUAAAGGUAAACGAUGCAUUCAAAUUUUAAAGUCAAAGUAUCAUUGAUUGACUGAAAUCAAAUAAAUUUAAAAAUUCGAUAGUAAACUCAAAAUUUUAUAAGAUUGAGUAACCAAAUUAAAAUGGUUUAUAAUUCAGAAAAAGUUAUAUAUGUUUUUACCUAUAAAUUUUAUAUUCUCACUGUUCAAAGACUAAUUUCUUUUCACACUAAUUUUAUCACAUUUCAAUUUUUUAAUAUUACAAAUUCAAAAUGUGUGAAUUCUUGAAUAAGUUGGGCAAAAUCUUUACGCCUAACUUUAGCUUACAAGUGGCAUUUCUCAUCAUAAGGUACUCUGUCAUACGCAGCGUGGCGCGCUAAAGCUCAAUAAUAGAUCAUCUACGAAACUUACAUUUUGAACAUAUAUUUUUUAUAGAUUAAAUAAUAAUUCUCUUCAUAUCACGAUUUUUUAAACUACUUAAGGCAUAGAUAAAGAUCUUUAAAUGAACAAUUUUUUAUACAUAAGCUCUUUAGGUGUAACGCCCCCAAUAGUCCCACAUCGGAUGGGAUACUGAUUCCGAUAAUAGUCCCACAUCGCAUGGGAUACUGAUUCCGAUCAGUUUAUAUGAGGCCUACACACUAGAAAUAAUAACUGGGCUUAAGCAUUUUGGGCUAGUGGUUGGGCCCAACGAGUUAUUGUUGCUAGUGGGCUGGGUCGUUACAUUUGGUAUCAGAGCCGGUUCACCAGCUGGACAUGUGUGGCGAGUCUCGGCUGAGCCAGGGUCUAGAUGACAGGCUAGCGAGACGAGUCUCACAUUGUCUGGUGAUCUUGGGCUGUGUGUGUGAUUGGAUUGACGAGGACGUCAGGGCCUUAACGGGGGGAGUUUGUGACACCCCAAUAGUCCCACGUCGGAUGAGAAUGGGGUUGUCAUUGGGACACUAGUAAUAAUAACUGGGCUUAAGUAUUUUGGGCUGUUGAUUGGGCCCAACGAGUUAUUAUUGCUAGUGGGCUGGGUCGUUACAUUUGGUAAAUUCCUUUAUGGGCCUACUAAGAAGUCUCGAACCUAGACGUGCGGGUGAGUGUUAAAUAUAAAAAGGCUUUUAAAAUCGAGCCCGGGGCGUGACAGAUUAAGAUGGCCCAGAGCCUAGACGUGACAGAUUAAAAUUGGGCCCAAAUCCGUUGGUUUGGGCCCAACGAGUUAUUAUUGCUAGCGGGUCGGGUCAUUGCAAUUGGUAUCAGAGACGAAUACCAGCCGGAAGUGUGAGAACUAAGUGCUAUGCGGGACAAAGUGCUACACCAACGGGUUUGGUGGGAGCUACCUCUUGAACCUGUAGGAGCCACCUCUAGGAUCUCACAUCGUCUGGUAAUGAUCCUGGUUUAUCUGUCUGUCAUUUGGUUUGGACCCGACGAGGACGUCAGGGUCUAAACAGGGGGAGUUUGUAAUGCCCCCAAUAGUCCCACAUCGGAUGGGAUACUGAUUCCGAUAAUAGUCCCACAUCGGAUGGGAUACUGAUUCCGAUCAGUUUAUAUGAGGCCUACACACUAGUAAUAAUAACUGGGCUUAAGCAAUUUUGGCCAGUGGUUGGGCCCAACGAGUUAUUGUUGCUAGUAGGCUGGGUCGUUACAUUUAGUAUCAGAGCCGGUUCACCAGCUGAACAUGUGUGGCGAGUCUCAGCUGAGCCAUGGUCUAGAUGACGGGCUAGUGAGACGAGUCUCACAUUGCCUGGUGAUCUUGGGCUGUGUGUGUGAUUGGAUUGACGAGGACGUCAGGGCCUUAACGGGGGGAGUCUGUGACACCCCAAUAGUCCCACAUCGGAUGGGAAUGGAAUUGUCAUUGGGUUUAUAAGAGACUUAGACACUAGUAAUAAUAACUGGGCUUAAGCAUUUUGGGCUGUUGAUUGGGCCCAACGAGUAUUAUUGCUAGUGGGUUGGGUCGUUACAUUAGGUAUUUUAGAUCACAUCAAGUAAAUUAAAUUUCAAUUUUAAGAUAUCAAUAAUCACAUAUUAUGUGUGGUUCGUCAAGUUUAGGUAUACACUGGUGCAUGUCAAUUUCAACUUAUUUGGAGGCUUUUUAACUUUCUCUUCUUUAUUUUAGUCUUUUAAGUUAGCUAGUGAAGCUGAUUAUUUUUUUUAAAACAACUCAAGGAUAAUAUUAUCUAUUAUUUAUUUUUUUUCUAGUUUUAUUUAGUAAAAAUUAAUCGAACCUAUUGAAUUUGAUCAAAUUACUUAUGAUUUUGAAAAAAAAAAAUUUAAUGUAUUUGAUAAAUCACUUAAUUAGAGAAUAUCAAUCCAACAAAAAGGAAGUUGAGAGACUAUUUCCUAAUGUGCUAAAAGUGGGGGUGUCUUCACGCAUUUUUAUCUCACCGAAAACUGUGGUACCCGCAGUCAUUAAUUAGAAGAUGUGAGGAUUUAAAAGUCUUUGUCUGGAUAGUUUCAACAUUUGAUUUAGUCGAAAGGUCGCUACUCACUUGAUAGUCAUUUGAUAUAGAAAUAAUAAUAUAUAAUUAAAAUUUUCUAUAUUGGCAUAAUUUAUUAAAUCUUUUUGCUAAAAAUACUAUUUUAAUAUAAAAUAUUAUAUUAUUCUUAAUUAAUUGAGCAAUGCUAGCUAUAUUUACAGCCAAAAGUUGGGUGUAAAUUUUUCUCCUUUAUAAUAAAGAAGGGUCAAGUUUUUCACACUACAUUUAUCAAUCAAUAUUUCUAAUAUUAAAUAUAAAAAAACAGUACUGUUUAAACUCUUAGAUGGUUGGAUGUAAGAUUUAUAUCCAACUUAAUUUUAACUGUGCAAAUAGCAUUCUCUUCUUAAUCAGAUCAUACUUAACGAUCUCAUAUGCUAUAGUAGAAUUAAUUUAAUGUGUAUUCUCGAGGACGGAGCGAGAACUUUGCAGUAGAGAUGACAACUAUUGGAGUCGGAUUAAACCAAAGGACAACAGACAAACCAAAUCAUGAAUAUUCAAUUUGCAUAUAGCUCAUGUUCUAUUUUCUCUCCUAUAAUUGCGGGAGUCUUGUAAAUUUUUUUUUAUCAAAGUGAAAUGAAUAAUUAAAUUGACUAUUCUAAUCCAACUUAUUAAAUUCGAUUGACUGUUCUAGUCUAGUUUAUUAAUUUCGAUUGGCUAUUCUAGUACAGUUUAUUAAUGUAUAUCUUCUAGGUGGGGCUAUAAUUGUGACAAGCUUGUAGUUUUUUUUAUUUUCAAAGUGAUAUGAAUAAUUAGAUUGACUAUUCUAAUCCAAUUAUUAAAUUCGAUUGACUAUUCUAGUCUAGUUUAUUAAUUUCGAUUGAGUCGUUCUAGUUUGGUUUAUUAAAUUCAAUUGGCUAUUCUAGUCCAGUUUAUUAAUAUAUAUCUUCGAGGUGGGGCUAUAUUAAGCAGCUUGUGCGCGCUAUCAUUUCGUUAAGCUUAAUUGAUUCAUAAAAUAAGAAAAUUACACAAAAUAAUCAUAAACAUAUUUUCAAGUAGAAAUAUAAUUAUAAUAUAAGCAUAGAUAUGAAAGGAUAUUCCGGUUAUUAAAGAGGGCAACAUGGCCUUCAUACAAUAAGAAAAUUAUACAAAAUAAUCAUAAAUAUAUUUUCAAGUAGAAAUAUGAUUAUAAUAUAAGCAUAGAUAUGCAUGAAAGGAUAUUUCAGUCAUUAAGCAGGGCAACAUGGCCUGGCUUUACCACCCGAUCGAUUAUUCCACACGGUAUAUGUCAUCAUAUAUAAAGAAGCUUUCUAUUAAAAAUGUCAUUGUCAACUAUGAGAAGAUAUCAAUGCAUGCAUCAUGUUUUCGUAUGUUCGUGCAUCAUCAUUCCAUAGCAAAUAAAAAAGAAAGGUAAGAAAGUACUAAUUAAAUAAUAGAGUAGGAAUAUUCCUAACUGAGUUGUGAGGAUUGAGAUUUUCUCCUAUAAAAAUUUGACAUCUGUUUAGAUGUUGUCGUGUGUAUUUUAAUUUCAAAAACUAUUCGAUAAAUUUCAGCAAAAAAUAAUUUAAAAUAAGGAUUUUACGUGAUUUUUACUUUUCACUUAAAAUGAAUACUAACUCGAAUUUUCGAAAUGGGCCGUUGAGUGUAGAUGGCUUCUGUCGCGUACCGGGCUCUGUUUCUAGUGAUUCAAUAGCUUUUUUCAACUGUCUAACUAUGCCGGAUCCAAUGGUGUAGGCAGAAUUUAUGUUCGAUGCACAGUUCUCGAGAAAUCUGCUCUCAUCAUAUAUUGACCUUUUGGCGAAAUUGGGUUUUUAUGGAAAAGGUAUGACAUUUCAUAUAUACUGAAUUGCACGAAACUCAAGGGGUAGGCACAAUUGUGUGAAUUACUCGCACUGGUGAAUUAUUGGAAGGGAAUAUUGAGUUUGGAGGGUUAAAUUGCAAUAUUAGGAAUUUGUGGAAAUGGAGCACUUCCCGUAGAAGCUAUCAUUUUAUGUGCGAAACGUUGGAGUUUUGGCAAAUGGAUGGGUUCAAAUAAAGUAUACUCAGAGGGGAACGCGCUGAUACAAGUCUCGCUAAAUUUUGACACUUUUGAACAAAACGGCACGGACUCGAAGUUGAGAUAGAGACUUUACCGAAGAAUCUCAUUGUGAGAAAUGAUGUUAUUUAAUGCAUAAAAUCGCGUAAAACUCCUCGGAAUGGUGCUACUACGUAAAUGUUGCAUGCUGGCAGGGUUUUCACUCCAAUUGUACGAAUUUGGAGGGGCUUACAUGCAAAUUCCAUAUCCAUAUAUAUAUAUAUAUAUAUAUAUAUAUAUAUAUAUAUAUAUAUAUAUAUAUAACUUGCUAUGAGAGGUUCUUGGAAUGGGGCCUAAAUUAUAUAUAACAGAAACAAUGACCAUGGGUAAACAGCAACAUCAUUAUGAGAUGAAAAACCAGUAAAAUAUCAAACAGGACUAGAAGAGCACAAUACAUACCAUAAGAGAGUUCCAGCUUUCGAACAAAAGCCACUCCUCAGUUACAUAUGUUUCCAGAUAAUAAUUAACACGAUACCCACUUAUUCUUAUUUCUAUAUCAAAGGGAGACUUACUCUGCUACACUCUUUAAGCACACCUUAGCUCAUAGUCUAAAGAUUAAACAUAACUUUGAUUGCAUCACUGCCGCGAGCGCUGACCUCAAAAGCUUCCUCAACCUCCUUCUGAGAGAACCCAAACCUAUGAGUUAUCAGCGGCUUUACAUCAAUCUUUCCAGAUCGGAGGAACUCAAGGCAUAGAGGCCAAGUGUCUUUAUAGCGAAAGAUGCCGACGAUAUCAACCUCCCUAUCCAAAAGGAACACAUUAUUAUCUUAGUAAUCCGACAGAACUCAUAUUUUCAAGAUGAUAAAUUUGCCUAAAGGUGAGAGAGAGAGAGAGAAGGGAAAAAAAGAAAAAAAAAAAAAAGAAAAAGAAAAAAGAGUCAGAUAGCCUUAUGGCCUAUUUGGCCUGACUGGAGUUUCUGCGAGUGUUUCUAGACAAGAGCUGCAUUAAUAGAUUUUCAUCAUGAUUUUCAAAAUAGCAGCCUUCAAUUUCAGCACAGAAGUUCAUUUCACUUGGUUUUCUAGAAGCUUCUGCUUUUCCAAAUAGAGAUGUAGCUCUAGAAGCCGUAACAAAUAGGAAUCUAUGUUCUUAUCUUUAACCGCAUAACCUUAACUUUUAGGUCACAUAAAAGAAAGUUUAGUAUCAUGCUGUAGUUGAAGGUCAACCUGAAAGAAAGUUUAGUACCUUGCUGCGGCUGAAGUAAGGGGAACAGUCAUCUCGUUGUGGCCCAUUCCAAUUAGGCAAACUUUACCACCAGCACGAGUAGCACUAAGAGCAGUCGACAUAGUUUUGCUCAAACCAGCACAAUCAAAGCUCACGUCAACUUCAGCACCCAUAACCUCNGCUUCUAAAAGUAUUCUAGCUCAAUUUUAUAUAUAUAUAUAUAUAUAUAUAUAUAUAUAUAUAUAUAUAUAUAUAUAUAUAUAUAUAUAUAUAUAUAUAGUCCGGCUACUAUGCUAUCGAUAGCACCAAGUAUUUGGUACUAUCAAAUUUUCUACCAUUAGAUUAAUCCUUUUAAUUAUUUUUACCCAUUAGAUUAUACUAUUCAACCAACCACCUACUCAACCCUAGGGGUCCCACAUCAUCCUAACCGUACAUUUCUCAAUCGAAAGACUAAAAAACUAAUAGCACCAACAGCUUGAUGCUAUUGAUAGUAUUCCAACCUAGUUCUAUAUAUAUAUAUAUAUAUAUAUAUACUAUUCAACCAACCACCCACUCAACCCUAGUGGGCCCACAUCAUCCUAACCGCGCAUUUCUCAAUCCAAGGGGUAAAAAACUAAUAGCACCAACAGCUUGGUGCUAUUGAUAGAAUUCCAGCCUAGUUAGCCUUGGGCGGAUAGGGGAGAUUCUGUCUGUUCGGCAUCUGUUCGGCGUACCCCAACCGACCAAAUUGGCGGUCGCGAGGCGUGACACUUUAGAUGCAGUUAAUGUGUGAUACAGUCGUUCUAUCAUAAGUCCCAACUAGACGGAGGUCAAAAAAUAGCUCAUCAAACCCCAUCGUCUGUCAUAUGUUAAAUUUAUUCGACUCGAAUUUUUAAUAUCGGAAACCCUUUGUAUUAUUUACUCUCUAGCUAAGAUCUUCUAAACUCGAUCUCAUAAAUCACGUAGAACUAAUACCCUUAUCUACCAAGAAUGAUAGAUUCCAUAUAAGUGCAUAUCCUAUUCCUACAACGAACCUACUAUAGCCAACAUGCAUCGAAAGAACCCAAAUAUAUAGAGAUCAAGUGUAUAUACAGUCAAACUAUAUUAAUCUCAUUGUGAAUAACCGAGGCACCACAGGCCAAAGGACCAAUCACACUACUGCUAUAUUGAGUAAGUCACUGACGCGUGAGUAGACAAUCAUGUGACUUCUCGUGUUGGUUACACUAUUCAACAUUGGCUAUACUUGAAACACAUUGUGAUUUUGCACGCACAUUGGGGGAGCUCUAACAAUGGAGCUCUAUCGAUGCUACACAGCAGCAUUUAGUCUCGCGAAUUUUUUUUUUGAUUGUAAUAGAGACAAAUUUUUAUGUAAUUAAAGAAUAGAAGGAAAUUAGUAGAAGAAGUAGGGUAAAGAAGAAAUUGAAAAAGAAAAAGAAGUCCACCAACUAGCGAUUGGUGGAACAAAAACAAAUAUGGGUUUAGGAGCAAUGACAUGAUAAACGACAAUAGAAUCCCUUUUCUUCUAGCGACUAAAACAUUUGUUAUGACUAAUAUUUAAACAAUUUAAAGGCUUGCACCGCCAAUUAAUAGUUUAAUUAGAAACUGAUUGUAUAAUUUACCUCCAUAAAAAUUUAAGAACCAAUUGUUAUUUAGAACUAAAAUUUAUGGAAUUUUAUGGCUUGAGAGGCAUAAACAUAUUUUCGACUCGAAACAGAGACCAUCACUUGCAAUCACUGAAAAUGUCUUGCUUUUCUGUUAAAUCUUGGAUGCCGAUUGCAAAGAAGAAAGUUCACAGGUUGGCUGUCGAACAUAAACUAACUUUCUAAACGUCAAGUCAAGUCGGUCGUCCCUCCCUAUUUGGACAAGUCAGUAUUUUGCUUUCUCCUAUUGGCUGUGGUCGCAUGGAAUAAAAUUCCAUCACCACCGCAUAACACGUUUGUACCUUGACUCUUAUUAUGCCUUUAGUGGUUUACUAGUGUAGUAUUCGUAUGAUAUACGACGGCUAAAUAAUUAGAAAAAAAAUAGAAAACGGUAACAAAGAAAGAAAAAACAAUGAUCGAAAAAGUGAUGAUAAGAGAUAAAAUUUAUCUUGCCGAUGAAAGCAGGUAACAACCAAAGAAAGUGGAAGAACAACAAUACGACCUAAUACAGAGGUGUGAUCCGAUUCAGUUCAAGCAAAACAGAGGAAAACCUAAUUUGUUUUAAGAAAAAAAAUAGAGAAUUAUAUGGAGGACUUGAGCCGGUUCCGAAGAGCUCACAUUGAAUAAUGAUUGGUUCCAUUCAAGAAAAAAAGAGAAAAAUAUAUAAAGGACUUGAGCUAGUUCGGGGUGGAGUCUACACCCAAUAACGAAGGGAACGUUGCCAUGUGGCAAAUUUAGGAAGAAUAAUGUAUAGGUACAGAUAAAUAUUGGUAAAAUAUAUAAAAUCUAUCUAAACUAUAAACUACUUCGAUUCAAAUAUCUGACCUUUCAAAAUUUUAAUUUUAUUAUCUGAUUUUGCAAUUUGUUUGCUUUAAGUAAUUUGAUAGUUUUUCAUAUUCAAAUUUUGAAAUAUUUAAAUUUAUAGUUAUAUAAAUUAUAUAAAAUAUGCUAACUAAAUUCGUAAAAAUAAACAAUAAGUUCAAACUUUGAAGUAACUCAAAUUAAAUAAAUUAAAAGGUCUGAUAGUAAUUCAAAAUUUUUAAAGCUUAGAUAGUUGGAUGUAAAAGGAUGCAUGAUUGUUGAGAUAAAUUUUAUAUAUAUAUUAUUUAAAAAACUAUUACCGUUUGGUUCGGGGUUAAGGAACAACUAGUUAUUCUAGGGAUAGGGUUAAGUUCAGGGUUAAGAUGGUGUUAGAGUAUUUUUGUGUUUGAUUGAGGAUUGGUUGGGGAUUGGAGUUAGUCCAGAAUAGUAAAAAAUAGUGUUUGGUUGAAGUAGCUGGGAUAAGAAGGAUAGUGAGUUAUUAUGAAUAAAAAAUAAUAUUUGGUUGGGAUUUGGUAGGGUUAGGUGGGGUAGCUAACUCCACCUAAAAUGGGCUAUCUCGGGUUAGAUGGGGUUAGCUAAUCCCAUCUAUUUUUUGAGAUGUUUGGGGAUAAUAUAGAGGUUAAGGGAUAAUUCCACCCCUUAACCCCCAGCCAAACAAAGGUUUUAUUAAGGUACUAAUACUAACACGCUUCAAAAAAAAAGAAAAAGAAGAAGAAAAAAGUCGAAGAGCUCACCUGUGACUAGCGUCAGUACUGCUACCGGAUGUUUCGGCCUCUGGCAGCAAGUUCCAUUAGAAGGUUCCAGAUGUGUACCGGGUGGGCACGAGCGCCAGUAUCCACCUUGUGUAUUGUGACAAACCCCAGAGCAUGGAGAUGCAUCCUUGUUUGCACACUCAUCAUCAAUACCUGUUCCCCAUAUCACAAAAUUCCCAAGAAAAUAAAUUAACUUAGUAGUCAAAUAGUACUAUUCAAUCCAAGUCUCAAAUUGGAUGUAUAACCAGAGAUUUACUCGUCGUGUGCAUGCAAUUUGAUUUGAGUGUGUUUAACUUUAAAAUAUCGAAAGAGGAACUAUUAGGCCUUGUUUGGUUGGGGUUUAAGGGGUGGAAUAAUCCCUUAACCCCCAUAUUAUCUCCAAACACCCCAAAAAAUAGGUGGGGUUAGCUAACCUCACCUAACCCCACCUCAAAUAAAUUAUUCCGGGUUAGCUAACCCCAUUUAAUCCCACCAAAAUCCAACUAAACACUAUUUUCUAUUCAUAAUAACCCACUAUCUUUUUUAUCCCACCUACUCCAACCAAUCAUUAUCCUUCUUUAUCAAUCAUUAUUUUCUUAUCCCACCUACUUCAACCAAAUAUUAUUUUUCAUUAUUCUAGACUAACUUUAACCCCCAACCAAAUACAAAAAACUUUAACCCUACUUUAACCCUAAACUUAACUCUAUUCCUGGAAUAGCUACUUUUUCCUUAACCCCGAACCAAACGGAGG
rnacentral:lncRNA from 1 species